rnacentral:lncRNA from 1 species
AGGUACCAUUUAGAAAGUAUGCAGCUUCCAUAACUUCUUGCAAUGGUUUGGCACUAGCUCGGAGAUAAAUAAAAGAAGUUUAUCUAAAAAAAGGCACACAAAAUGUAGUUGAUAUAGCAUUCAGUUUCACAUCAGUAAAAAUUGCAAUAGCUGGAUACUGUAAGCCAGACGUGACACCAACAAUUCAAUUCUGAAGGUCAUUUAUCUAAAAAAAGGCAAACAAAAUGUAUUUGAUAUAGCAUUCAGUUUUCACAUCAGUAAAAUUGCAAUAGCUGGAUACUAUAAGUCAGAUGUGACACCAACAAUUCAAUUCUGAAGGUCGACUGGAAUGCAAUUUUCACAGCAAUUGGUUGGUUAAGGAGCUAAUCUUGUGCUUCAUAAAAACAGAUCAGACUCUUAUAGUCUUAAGCAACUGGCUUUUUUCCCCAUGCCUAAUAGCAAGUUUAUGCUACGGGAUAUAAUAAACUCACAAUAUCAGUCACAGAACCAAAGCUAUACAGUUACAUUAUCUAUUAACCCAGUAAGAGAGCAAAUGAAAUCAUAUAUCAUCAGACAUUAUUUAUCAGAACAGAC